AGUGAACGCUGGCGGUAGGCCUAACACAUGCAAGUCGAACGGCAGCACAGUAAGAGCUUGCUCUUACGGGUGGCGAGUGGCGGACGGGUGAGGAAUACAUCGGAAUCUACUUUUUCGUGGGGGAUAACGUAGGGAAACUUACGCUAAUACCGCAUACGACCUACGGGUGAAAGCAGGGGAUCUUCGGACCUUGCGCGAUUGAAUGAGCCGAUGUCGGAUUAGCUAGUUGGCGGGGUAAAGGCCCACCAAGGCGACGAUCCGUAGCUGGACUGAGAGGAUGAUCAGCGACACUGGAACUGAGACACGGUCCAGACUCCUACGGGAGGCAGCAGUCGGGAAUAUUGGACAAUGGGCGCAAGCCUGAUCCAGCCAUACCGCGUGGGUGAAGAAGGCCUUCGGGUUGUAAAGCCCUUUUGUUGGGAAAGAAAAGCAGCAGGUUAAUACCCCGCUGUUCUGACGGUACCCAAAGAAUAAGCACCGGCUAACUUCGUG
rnacentral:rRNA from 1 species